rnacentral:rRNA from 1 species
GUCUACAGCCACACCGCCCUGAACGCGCCCGAUCUCGUCUGAUCUCGGAAGCUAAGCAGGGUCAGGUCUGGUUAGUACUUGGAUGGGAAAGGAAUCACCUCCUUUGUAUUAUAUUUCCAAAACAGGAAUUUGCUGAGA